UUGAAACACUGGUUCUCAUAUGAUCACUGAAGUUAAGCAACUUCAAGCCUGGUCAGUACCUAUGAUGAGUGACCACUUGAAAAUACCAGGUAC